ACGGCCAUACCACAUUGAAAACACCGGUUCUCGUCCGAUCACCGAAGUUAAGCAACAGCCCCGUAAAUAAAGAUAUUUCCAUAGAUAAUUGAAAUUUUACAGUUAAUAUU